AAUUAGUGGCAGACGGGUGAGUAAUGCAUAGGAAUCUACCUAGUAGUAUGGGAUAGCCACUAGAAAUGGUGGGUAAUACUGUAUAAUCCCUGCGGGGGAAAGAUUUAUCGCUAUUAGAUGAGCCUAUGUUAGAUUAGCUAAUUGGUAGGGUAAAGGCCUACCAAGGCAGUGAUCUAUAGCUGGUCUGAGAGGAUGAUCAGCCACACUGGAACUGAGAUACGGUCCAGACUCCUACGGGAGGCAGCAGUGGGGAAUAUUGGACAAUGGGCGCAAGCCUGAUCCAGCUAUGCCGCGUGAGUGAGGAAGGCCUUAGGGUUGUAAAACUCUUUCAGUGGGGAAGAUAAUGACGGUACCCACAGAAGAAGUCCCGGCAAACUCCGUGCCAGCAGCCGCGGUAAUACGGAGGGGGCAAGCGUUGUUCGGAAUUAUUGGGCGUAAAGGGCAUGUAGGCGGUUCGGUAAGUUAAAGGUGAAAUGCCAGGGCUUAAC
rnacentral:rRNA from 1 species